CAAUGCUGACUGCCCCAGGUAUGCCGCCGGCUACGAGCUGCUCAUUCACAGUGGCGGCAGCGCCGCCACAUACUACUCCUUGCCCUUCCCCACCGGCGCGCUAUUCUUGGCUACUGUCACCCUGUCCACCCAUGCCGCCUCCCAAAUUCAAAUUUUCUGCCAAACCCGCGUGCCCAGGCGGAACUGUCUAGAAACCACCCUUGCAGGCCCAUAUAUAUAUAUAUAUAUAUAUAUAUAUAUAUAUAUAUCAAAUUUUCUAGCACUCUGAGUUCAAAUCCGCGCGCCAAUGUGGAGCUGUCUAGAAACUACUAUUGAAGACCAAUAUAAAGCAAAUGGGACUCUUGCUGCUGCACCCAAAGAAGCCAAACGCUGGUCACGGCAUUCUUCAUAUUGAACGGAUUGUGAGGACUUCGUCUUCUGUUCUACUUCGUGAAGGACCAAGGUCCAAAAGAUACUCAUCAAGCUCAGAAAUUAGAAGUCUCCAGGAGAAACCCUUGGAUUUAGGUGUGAAACUGAAUAAUCACAAGGUCAGGACAUACUGGGUCUUGCGCCCAAAUGUUACAAUCCUCGUGCCAACAAAGCAAUAAAGGAAAACAAAAAGUGGUCGAUGACAAUAAUAAGUCCCACAGAACUAGGCC